GACACUCUGGAAAAAUCCUGGAGGCGAGCAUGCGAGGAGGUGACAAGCGAGCUGGAGAGUAGGAGGUCUUGGGAAGAACGAAGGGGGCGGUUUGGGUGAGAUUUUGAGAUGAGGGGGGUGAUGUAGGUUGGGGCAGAGUUAUGGAGUGGC